CUUCUCUUCCUAGGAACGCUUCGCCUGAGUUUUAAGGGGCUUUCUUAACGAGGAACGGUUGGUACGCUUCCGGUUGGGUUGGUUGCUACUGUGCUGUAACUUUGUAUCACGGUAGGGAAAAAUCGAUAGACCUUUGUGUAGGUACCGGCUGGUCUCGCGAGCCUGCUGUGCGCAACAUUGUCUGGAUUGGCGGGAUAUGAUGCGAGUGAAAGGCUUCAUUGCAAUAAGUAUAUGAUACUGUUGGAAGAGGAUAAUUAUGUAGCUGUAAUGAGAUUGGAACUCAUUACAUUCACUGAUUAUACAGCUAAUAAGUGAACUAUUUCUC